rnacentral:rRNA from 1 species
GAUGAACGCUGGCGGCGUGCCUAGUACAUGCAAGUCGAGCGAACAGAUAAGGAGCUUGCUCCUUUGACGUUAGCGGCGGACGGGUGAGUAACACGUGGGCAACCUACCUAUAAGACUGGAAUAACUCCGGGAAACCGGGGCUAAUGCCGGAUAACAUUUAGAACCGCAUGGUUCUAAAGUGAAAGAUGGUUUUGCUAUCACUUAUAGAUGGACCCGCGCCGUAUUAGCUAGUUGGUAAGGUAACGGCUUACCAAGGCAACGAUACGUAGCCGACCUGAGAGGGUGAUCGGCCACACUGGAACUGAGACACGGUCCAGACUCCUACGGGAGGCAGCAGUAGGGAAUCUUCCGCAAUGGGCGAAAGCCUGACGGAGCAACGCCGCGUGAGUGAUGAAGGUCUUCGGAUCGUAAAACUCUGUUAUUAGGGAAGAACAAAUGUGUAAGUAACUGUGCACGUCUUGACGGUACCUAAUCAGAAAGCCACGGCUAACUACGUG